UCAGACAUGGUGUAGCGGUAACAUCCCCUCUGUAUGUAAUUGAAGCAGCGAUAGGCAUAUAUGUGGAAGUCCCGGGUUCGAACCCCGGUGUCUGAA